rnacentral:snRNA from 1 species
AAACGGUGGCUCUGGAUGUGUUUUGUUUCUUUGAUGCUAUGAUCCUGCUUUUAGCGACAACCGGCAGAAUAAUGGAAAUACCAUUGCAGUGUUUAUUCUGAAGGGUGUCCCCUUCCUCCCUCGCCGCUCCAUGUGCGUCCCUCCCAAAGCUGCGCGCUCGGUCGAAGAGCACGACCUUCCCCGAUAGAGACGUACCGUUCAUCGGUCAAGGGUAUAUGGUAGCUGCACUCUCCUGCUAGAACCUCCAAACAAGCUUAAGGUCCAUCUGUAGGAGAACAUAGGGUAGUCAAGCUUCCAAGACUGCAGACACAUCCAAGUGAGGCACUGCACGGUUUUUUCUU